GAAUAAUUUAUCAUUGUCGCUUCUAAGCAAAAGUUUCUCUUGAAAAUGUUCAGCAACUGAUGAUAGAUGGAGAGAACUUCAUCAUCUCCUAGAAAGAGGGAAGAUGAAGGGCUACUUUCAUGCUGGGGUCGUCUCAAGUUGAAGCUUCCAUGGACAAACAGAAGAACAAGCAGCAGCAGCAGCAACAACAACAACAUCCCAACGAACACAAGGCACAGAAGGGUAGGUUGGAACAUAGCAUCAAUUUUUACAAGAGCCAAUAGGCAACCAAGACCAGUUGGUGGUUUUAGGUACGACCCUUUAAGCUAUGCACAAAAUUUUGAUGAGGGCUGUUGGCAUGAUGAUAAUGAGGAUGGCAUAUAUCGUGGGUUCUCUUCAAGAUUUGCCCCUCCUCCAUCAAGAUCGAUUCAUGAAGAUCAUAAAUAACCUGUUCUUGAAUAUGGGAAUUCCUUUUCUGUUCUGGGUUAAUUAAUUACUUUGGAUGCUCAAGGGGAUUAAAUUGCUGGUGUAACUGGUGUUGUGCUGAUGAUCAUGAAGUCCAAUUUCUUGGAUUCAUUUGUAAGGUUUUUAAUACCAUUUUACACAUAUUAGUGUCAUUAUUUUCCAGAUGUCUACAAGUCGUUUUGUAGUCUUCAGCUACAGAAGGCUGAUAAUAUAAUUAAGUAUUAACAAACUUUUAAGAAUUUUUUUUUUUUAACCCUUCUAAAAAAA
rnacentral:misc_RNA from 1 species